UCAAAUGUACUUUUUUAUUAAAAUAUCACACACCUAAUGUUGCCAAGGGACAAUAUUUGACAAUUAUGGGAGAAGCAAAUUUUCCAUUUCAAGACUCAUCAUUGUUCAUGAUCAACAUGGUGUCAACAAUGCAAAGGGCUAAGACCGCAUAAACAGGCGACACUAUUUUUUUUCUUUAUAAAACUGUCUAGUCUCCAUGGGGGCAAUCAGAUUUUUCUGUCCACGACCAGGAAAAAAUAAAAAUAAAAGACAAUUAAAAAUGAAAACAAUGCAGAAUUGUAGGGGUGAAGGGAGAAACUGGACAGCCUGUGCCCAACCAGAAUAUAGGAUGAAAGCUAAAAUGAUCUCUCAGGCUCUGCUAUUCUCUUAUAACUAUUAAGGAUUAGUCACUAUUGGAAAACUGACUUAUCAGAUAACAUAACUAUAUAUUCUACCGGAAUACAAAACCUACUGAAGCCUGAUCAUUUCUCCCUAAAUGACAAUCUGUCCCCUCUCCUGACAUGUCUGUUAGUAACUACUUGCAUUCCCCUUGUAGUAACAAUUCCAGAGCAUCUAUGCUUAUCACUCUAUGACGUGCCAUUCCUUUAUUAUUUUUGUUAGAAGUCAUUAAUAAAUUAGAAGUUUGAAUUCAAGGUCCAGAUCGGCGUUACCAGUCGUAUAUUGUCAAAUCAGUGCUGAAACACACCCAACUGGGAGCAGCCAUCUGGAUCUUCAUUGCAAACUGCUAGAAAUGCUUUCAUAACUAGCAGGAAUAAUGGUACAACACAGAAUCAGAAGAAUAGGGGCUCCAGAAUUAUUACAUGGGGAAUGCAAGUAGUUACUACAACAGACCUGUCAGGAGAGGUGAGAAGUCCUCUAAGUUGAUUGACAGAGCACUGCUGGAAGCGCUUGAAGAGAGGGUUGAGAAGUUCUCUACGCCAUAAACUCUAAGGAGAGUUUCACAUCUGCUGUAAAAGGUAUUCAGCCUGCCAGUUCACUGGAUCCAGCCUAACCGGAUACUUCCGUUCACCUCUACAGCCCAUUGACCAAAAUGGUAUCCGGACUAAAACCUGGCAUUCAUGCCGAAAAUCGGCAGAAUACCAUUAUAGUCAAUGGAGUCCGGCGGUGCAUGGCCCUAUCCGGCUAAGCUGGAUACGGUGAACUCCUGCAGGCUGUUCCUCUGAUAGAACAGCCUGGCAGAUACCUUUACCGCAUAUGUGAAGGUAGCCUUAGUCACCUAAUGCACUUUCGCAUGCAACUAACUUCAGAACCUUCACCAAUUUCAAAAAUGAAACUAGUCUAAAGACUGAAUCCAGGUUACAUUAGAGCAUAUAUCUGAGGAUAGAGUUUGCCAUGUGUCCAGUGUGCUAAGACACACAGUCCCAGAAGUGGGACCAGUUCAGCACAGAAUUUAGCAACUCUAGUAUCUGUAGCUUCCAGCAGGAUUGUGGACACUGUCCCAAUGAAUGGACAAUUAGCCAUAAUGUGGAGUAUGUUAAAAAAAAUUAAAUAAAAAGUUCUCUCUAAACAUCUACACUUGCAUGUUAUACAGAACAUAUUGCUUUUUGGUAUGGUAGAAAUGAGAUCUUGUUUAACGUUCAUCUUGCCUUUAUAGACCCAUAUAUAUCAUAGGUCCUGUGUUAAAACGGGACCUCAAAGAUGGGUUGAUGGGUUACCCGACCCCCAGAGCGGUUUGUCCUCGAGUUACCUCUAUAGAGGCUCAAAUAAAAAGUGAACAAAUUGCAUUUUACCUUUGAACAACGCCAAUAUGGCAGCAAAACGGUCUACUUUUUCUUUCAAAGACAUUAUAGACUAAGCCAUACAUUAGGUGUAUGUAUACAUUUUCACUUUACAGCAGAUUCUUCAGAAAUAACAGCGAUAUAUACAAGGUAACAUAGAUCACAAUAUCUUCCUUUUCUGACCUUAAAGAAUAAUCUUAUACAAUGUGCGAUCUGAUAAUCCUGAACGUUACAGGUGACAACAUGGGAAGGUAAAACAGUAACAGGUCACUCCCGGCAAAAAGUGAGAAGCCUGCUCUUCACUUGACUUCGGUCUGUUCCCUACUCUAGAAGCGGUAGUUGCCUACUGGUCUGCAUUUUGGAGAUCUGCAAGUCUGCCUAGGAGGUGCCUGGUUCCUUAAAGUGAAUGCACGCCUUAUAUCAUAAUGCGUUGAUUAAUUUCUUAAUAUAGCUUAACAGUGGCUAGAGUGCCAUUUUUUUUUCCUGAGGCAGAGGUUCAACUCUCCUGUGUAGACAUAGAUUCAAAAUAUAACAGGAUUGCUACCUGCAGCUGCCACUAGAGGGCACUUACUGCGUUAUUAUGGAGUUCAAUGAAUAGACAGUAUGCAGGAAGCUCUUAAGCUCCCUCUAGUGGUGGCUGCAGGAAGACAAAAAUCUUGCUUCACCAGAACUACUGGAGACUCACGUCAUCACUACAUGCUUAUGUUUUCAAGGCAGACUGACAUGAGGAAUUCAGAGACAUCCAAAACACAGAACCAAAAGAUAAGCAAAAACUUUUUCUUUCAAGGGGGAAGAAAGGGCGAGUGAUUUUUUAUUUUCCAAUGUUAGCCUAGAGUUGAUACAAAGAAUAAGACUCAAAGGAGAAUUCUGGGAUUUUUAUAUUUAUGCCCUGUCCUCAGGAUAGGCCAUCACAGCUCCAUGUGUCGUGUAGUGGACAGAUUCCCUUCAAUCAUAGCAGCGCUGCAUUGGACACACAGUGGACAGAGUUGUGUAGUUCUGCUGCCUAUUUCCAGAGCUGGAGCUAUUUCCGAACAGCUGAUCGGCCGGGGUGCAAGGUGUCUGCCCCUGCCCCCCCCCAGAUCUGAUACCGAUGGCCUAUCUUGACGACAGGACAUGAAUAUAAGAAUCUCAGAAAAUCCCUUUACAGUUUGUACAAAUAAGAAAACGUACAAUUGUGAACAUUGCCCAAAAUUACACAAAGCAUCAUAUUCUAACUAUGACUAUAGUAAAAAGAAAUUUGAAGCCUAUUGGUCAUAACAUGUAGAAUUAUCAUGUCUCAGCUAAACUUAUGUGUCAAAGGGGUUGGCUGCUGGAAAGAGCACCUUAAAGGGCCGGGCAGGCGUCAGAAGCAACACGAAUGCUGGGGAGCCAGGUAAGUCCAACCUCUGAGAGGGGCCCAGGCGUAUGGGGAGGCAUUUUAGGGAUUGGAUAACGAAUACAGGUUUUAGCACAUUAGCGUAUGUCCUCUGAUAAGUGACAUCCACUGAUUUAGCACAGUUUGCUCCAGGACUGCAGGCCGCACCAGUCUUUAACAUAGCUGUUAAUAAAGGGGCACAAGACCAGAGGCGUUCCACUACGGCCUCCAUUGAAUAAAUCUGGACGUGCAACAGCAAACUAGAGCAAGUGCCCUGCAAAUAUUAUUGUUGUAUUUUAUUUUACUCCAUGGCUUAAAGUGCUGUUUUCAGGACAUCGGUGAAAAAAAAAAUUUAAGUGGCCAACCCCUUUAACUAUCUCCAUAGACACAUCAGUUCAUUUAAAGCCCUCGACUAUAUAACAUUAUGUAAGUAUUAACAAAAUAUAUUUAUGUACAUAUGGAGAAGACUUCGGUGCCCUGAAUCUCUUGCCAUGUGACUAUCGAGGGAAGAGUUAAUCAGUCCAGAAACAUGGCCCACCAUACUGGGCAGCAAACUAAUUCCAUCAACAGGGGAUGGUCAGUACUCACCGUCCCCUAACGGAAACUUGAGUGACCAAUCCAAAUAGGUAAUUUUUAUAUAUUUUAAUGGAUAUUUUCAGUUACAUCAUUGAACCGAGCACAUGACAAGCUUAGAAUUUGCGAAGAAAGAUUCCAUUGGGAGCCGGUCUACUGCUGAUCUAACACAUGGUGGAGAAGGCAAUGAUUGUGCAGACUGGAGCAUCAGAGCAGAAUCCUUGAUGUUCUUCCAAGUCAUUGAACCUAUUAGGUGUGAAUGCCCAAGAGUCCAGCAUCAUGAGUCCUGAAGAUAACCAAUAGACCAGCAUCACAAGACUUGUGGGUGCCCAACAGACAGGCAUCAAGAGUCAGGUGGGUGCCCAACAGACAGGCAUCAAGAGUCAGGUGGGUGCCCAACAGACAGGCAUCAAGAGUCAGGUGGGUGCCCAACAGACAGGCAUCAAGAGUCAGGUGGGUGCCUAACAGACAGGCAUCAAGAGUCCUCUUGAGGCCAGAAUACUGUAUUUUUUUCCUUUAAUAUGGUGCAAGACCAACAUUCUCAAGAUCAGGACUAAAACUGUUUGUCCUGUGCUCGGUUCAAUGAAACGAAAGGACAUACUCCUGGAAGAACACCUCAAGACAUUACAUACCCGACUGUGAACCCUGAUCAAGACUGGAUAAAAUGCGGCCACCACAAUUUCACUUUAUGUGCAAAUAAAAACCUUAAAGACGACCAUAGACCAUUAGGGUACGGACACACGGUCAGGUUUCCUGAUGCAGUUUUGGAAGCCAGGAGUGGCUCAUAAAAAGAGAGACUGUAGAAAGGACAGAGACAACUUCUCUUUUUGGAAUUCACUCCUGGUUUUGGCUUCCAGAACUGCAUCAGGAAACUUGACAGCGUGGCUGUCCCCUUAUUACAAUAUUUCCCGGCCAAGUAUCUAGAGUAUGGCGGACACUGACACGGCUGGUUGUUAACACACACAGAAAGACAGGACUGGCCGUGUUCAUGUUUCUCAGCUGAUCUCCUAAUGUUUUUUCUCUGGGAUAAAGAAUGUUGGGCAGCACCAUACAGAAAAAUAAAAAAAGAUAAUACCCGUCAUGUUCAACACAUAUGGUAAAGUGGUUGUAUGAGCUUAUGAAGGAACUAGAAGGUCUCUUUUUCCAGAAACAGCACCACUCUUUUUGAAUAUGUGUAAUACUUAGUACUGCAGAUCAGUCACAUUCAGCAGAAUUGGCCCACUGACGGAGGUAGUGCAGUUUUUGGAGGAGAAGAGACCACCUCUUCCAUGGUGGUGAGUACAAGUAGCAGUUUAUCACUGACAAACCAGUUUUAAAAGGGGCUUUCUGGCCAGUAAAGAUUUGGAAAAAGAAGUGGGUAUGGGUGGUAACAGUGAUGCUCCCUUUCUGACAAUUCUGGGAUUCCCUGCCGGUAUUAUGUGACACUUAAGUCAAUCACUAACCAGUGACUGGCUGCAGCGGUCACACGUCCCCGUGGACAGGGAGUAGAGACUGGCAGGGGACAGCAGAAGCACUGAUCAGAACGGUACUCAGCAUGCAGAGCCUUUUCCAAAAAUAAUUUUUACUGGCCUGACAACCCCUUUGAAGAGGACCUGUCACCUCUCCUAAUAUUCCUCUUUUAGUAACUAAUUCUAUUCCACAUGACAAUUCUGAGGCAUCUAUUCUUAUGACACUACAUUGUACCAAUUAUUCCUGCUAGAAUCAUUCAAAUAAAGGCAACCAAUGCAUUACCAAUUAGGGGUGUACCCCUGCACAGUCUGGCACUGACUGGAUAGAAUCAGAAUGCGCAGGGACACCCCCUCCCCUCCCCCAAAUGGUAAUACCCAUUUGUACCUUAAGCAGGAAUAAUAGAGAAACAGCACAGCAAAGAUGCUGCAGAAUUGUUAUUACAUAGGGAACGCAAGUAAUUGCUAAAACAGACUUGUCAGAAGAGGCGACAGGUUAAUUCAGCAAGAUCUACCUAGUAUAGGUAGAUACAAGACACUCCGCUGCUAGCAAUGGGCCCCUGGAUGAUGUCAGAAUGCCGAUCAGUCCUCUGCAGCUACAUAUUCACACUUUUAACACUAAAUACAUUUAUUUCCUGCCAAAAUACUCCACUUUUGGUUGGUUCCUAGCGCAACGGGCGGCCAACACUCUUCACUUGGUUUUAAACAAUUUGGUCACAAUGCACCUUUGAUAUAAAAGCAUUUUAUCUUUAUUAAUACUCAGGACAAUAGGAAUUUCCAGAAUUUCUUUUUCCGUUUUUUUGUUUUUGUUUUUUUUUCAGUAGCAUUUGAAGAACCACUUUCGAUGGUGAACACAGUAGUUGAAAUGAGCAUCCAAGUUCAGAAUGCAGACUGAUGUUGCAGGCAAAAAUU